GGCACACGCACAGAUCGGAGCUUUGUAAAACAGGCAGCUAUAGGCAAGGACCCUAACUGCCACGGUAUCGCAUCGGGCAGAACUUGGGGCCAGCUGCAACAGUGACCAGGACACUGGAGGAUUUGGGGUGUGCAAGUGGCUGAAGGUCAGGGGACAACUCCAUGGAGCCCAAAAGUGGGAUCCCAGUGAGGGGAACAAGCACCAGCACAUACAUGGUCAUGACCAGUGAUGGUGGCUGGAGCUUAGGUAAGUGCCUGCACUGUUGGUGAGGAAGCCAAGCCAUUGCCAGGGUCCCAAAGCUCUUGAAUCAUCAGGGGAGAGGAUAGAAACCCGCUCCAAAAGUAUUUGUGAUGCUGAGUCUGGCACUCUAGGAAGGAAUGAUGGAGCUGCAAGCCUAGAUGUUCACAGGUCCUCUUCUUCUCCAGAGCUUUGCACUGAUCCUGAUCUUUCUUCUUUCCCCUCCCUGUCUAGGGAGGGAAGGGAUGGGGAGGAGAUGGUGAAGUCCUCCUGCUGCCUUCCCUCUCAGCACCAAUCCUCAAGAUUCACUGUUGCUCCAGCUCCCUUUCCUCCCUUCCCCCACACACUCUCCCUGUGUCCAUUUCCCCAACAGGCACAUUCUUGCAGGGAUCACAGGAGCUUUACAGAUCACUCUUGGCUGGAGUAUGGAGGGACACCAUCACCACCCUCCUACGGCAAGGCCAAAAGCUGGUAGAGAUCCAGGAACCGGAGGCUGAGAACCAGUAGUCAGAA